rnacentral:tRNA from 1 species
GCCGGCGUGGCGGAAUAGGCAGACGCACAGGACUUAAAAUCCUGCGGGAGUAAAAUCCCGUACCGGUUCGAUUCCGGUCGCCGGCA